AUUGAACGCUGGCGGCAUGCUUUACACAUGCAAGUCGGACGGCAGCACAGAGAAGCUUGCUUCUUGGGUGGCGAGUGGCGAACGGGUGAGUAACAUAUCGGAACGUACCGAGCAGUGGGGGAUAACUAAUCAAAAGAUUAGCUAAUACCGCAUAUCUUCUGAGGAAGAAAGCAGGGGACCAUUUGGCCUUGCGCUGUUUGAGCGGCCGAUAUCUGAUUAGCUAGUUGGUGGGGUAAAGGCCUACCAAGGCGACGAUCAGUAGCGGGUCUGAGAGGAUGAUCCGCCACACUGGGACUGAGACACGGCCCAGACUCCUACGGGAGGCAGCAGUGGGGAAUUUUGGACAAUGGGCGCAAGCCUGAUCCAGCCAUGCCGCGUGUCUGAAGAAGGCCUUCGGGUUGUAAAGGACUUUUGUCAGGGAAGAAAAGGGCGGGGUUA
rnacentral:rRNA from 1 species